CCUACGGGAGGCAGCAGUGAGGAAUAUUGGUCAAUGGACGAGAGUCUGAACCAGCCAAGUAGCGUGAAGGAUGACUGCCCUAUGGGUUGUACACUUCUUUUAUAUGGGAAUAAAAUGUUCCACGUGUGGGGUUUUGUAUGUACCAUAUGAAUAAGGAUCGGCUAACUCCGUGCCAGCAGCCGCGGUAAUACGGAGGAUCCGAGCGUUAUCCGGAUUUAUUGGGUUUAAAGGGAGCGUAGGUGGAUUGUUAAGUCAGUUGUGAAAGUUUGCGGCUCAACCGUAAAAUUGCAGUUGAAACUGGCAGUCUUGAGUACAGUAGAGGUGGGCGGAAUGCGUGGUGUAGCGGUGAAAUGCUUAGAUAUCACGAAGAACUCCGAUUGCGAAGGCAGCUCACUGGACUGCAACUGACACUGAGGCUCGAAAGUGUGGGUAUCAAACAGGAUUAGAUACCCCUGUAGUC
rnacentral:rRNA from 1 species